rnacentral:rRNA from 1 species
GUGGGGAAUAUUGCGCAAUGGGGGAAACCCUGACGCAGCAACGCCGCGUGGGUGAAGAAGGCCUUCGGGUUGUAAAGCCCUUUCGGCCGGGAAGAAGGGUGUAUUGGCUAAUAUCCAAUGCAUUUGAUGGUACCGGAGGAAGAAGCACCGGCAAACUUCGUGCCAGCAGCCGCGGUAAUACGAAGGGUGCGAGCGUUGUUCGGAAUUAUUGGGCGUAAAGGGUUCGUAGGCGGGAGUGUAAGUUGAGUGUGAAAACCCUAGGCUUAACCUGGGACGUGCACUCAAAACUGCGCAUCUUGAGUUCUGGAGAGGGUGGUGGAAUUGCUGGUGUAGGAGUGACAUCCGUAGAGAUCAGCAGGAACGCCGGAGGCGAAAGCGACCGCCUGGCCAGAUACUGACGCUGAGGAACGAAAGCGUGGGGAGCAAACAGGAUUAGAUACCCGGGUAGUCC